GUAGCAGAUGGUUAAUGCAUUCAGCUGCUAAUUGAAAGGUUGGAGGUUCAAAUCCACCC
rnacentral:tRNA from 1 species